AUUGAACGCUGGCGGCAGGCUUAACACAUGCAAGUCGAACGAUGACUAACUAGCUUGCUAGUUAUGAUUAGUGGCGGACGGGUGAGUAACAUUUAGGAAUCUGCCUAGUAGUGGGGGAUAGCUCGGGGAAACUCGAAUUAGUACCGCAUACGACCUACGGGUGAAAGGGGGCGCAAGCUCUUGCUAUUAGAUGAGCCUAAAUCAGAUUAGCUAGUUGGUGGGGUAAAGGCCUACCAAGGCGACGAUCUGUAACUGGUCUGAGAGGAUGAUCAGUCACACCGGAGCUGAGACACGGUCCGGACUCCUACGGGAGGCAGCAGUGGGGAAUAUUGGACAAUGGGGGCAACCCUGAUCCGGCCAUGCCGCGUGUGUGAAGAAGGCCUUUUGGUUGUAGGCACUUUAAGCAGGGAGGAGAGGCUAAUGGUUAAUACCCAUUAGAUUAGACGUUACCUGCAGAAUAAGCACCGGCUAACUCUGUGCCAGCAGCCGCGGUAAUACAGAGGGUGCGAGCGUUAAUCGGAAUUACUGGGCGUAAAGCGAGUGUAGGUGGCUCAUUAAGUCACAUGUGAAAUCCCCGGGCUUAACCUGGGAACUGCAUGUGAUACUGGUGGUGCUAGAAUAUGUGAGAGGGAAGUAGAAUUCCAGGUGUAGCGGUGAAAUGCGUAGAGAUCUGGAGGAAUACCGAUGGCGAAGGCAGCUUCCUGGCAUAAUAUUGACACUGAGAUUCGAAAGCGUGGGUAGCAAACAGGAUUAGAUACCCUGGUAGUCCACGCCGUAAACGAUGUCUACUAGCCGUUGGGGUCCUUGAGACUUUAGUGGCGCAGUUAACGCGAUAAGUAGACCGCCUGGGGAGUACGGCCGCAAGGUUAAAACUCAAAUGAAUUGACGGGGGCCCGCACAAGCGGUGGAGCAUGUGGUUUAAUUCGAUGCGACGCGAAGAACCUUACCUGGUCUUGACAUAGUGAGAAUCUCUCAGAGAUGAGAGAGUGCCUUCGGGAACUCACAUACAGGUGCUGCAUGGCUGUCGUCAGCUCGUGUCGUGAGAUGUUGGGUUAAGUCCCGCAACGAGCGCAACCCUUUUCCUUAUUUGCCAGCGGGUUAAGCCGGGAACUUUAAGGAUACUGCCAGUGACAAACUGGAGGAAGGCGGGGACGACGUCAAGUCAUCAUGGCCCUUACGACCAGGGCUACACACGUGCUACAAUGGUAGGUACAGAGGGUUGCUACACAGCGAUGUGAUGCUAAUCUCAAAAAGCCUAUCGUAGUCCGGAUUGGAGUCUGCAACUCGACUCCAUGAAGUCGGAAUCGCUAGUAAUCGCAGAUCAGAAUGCUGCGGUGAAUACGUUCCCGGGCCU
rnacentral:rRNA from 1 species